rnacentral:rRNA from 1 species
GACGAACGCUGGCGGCAUGCCUAAUACAUGCAAGUCGAACGCUGAAGCACUCUGCUUGCAGAGUGCGGAUGAGUGGCGAACGGGUGAGUAACACGUGGGAAAUCUGCCUAGGAGUGGGGGAUAACAUUCGGAAACGGAUGCUAAUACCGCAUAUCUUUUUGAACCGCAUGGUUCUUAAACGAAAGACGGCUUCGGCUGUCGCUCUUAGAUGAUCCCGCGGCGUAUUAGUUAGUUGGUGGGGUAAAGGCCUACCAAGACCAUGAUACGUAGCCGACCUGAGAGGGUGAUCGGCCACACUGGGACUGAGACACGGCCCAGACUCCUACGGGAGGCAGCAGUAGGGAAUCUUCCACAAUGGGUGAAAACCUGAUGGAGCAAUGCCGCGUGAAUGAAGAAGGUCUUCGGAUCGUAAAGUUCUGUUAUUAGAGAAGAACAAGUCAAGGAGUAACUGUCUUGACUUUGACGGUACCUAACCA